rnacentral:rRNA from 1 species
UGCACACACCGCCCGUCACACCAUGGGAGUCGGAAAUGCCCGAAGCCGGUGCCUCAGCCGUAAGGAGAGAGCCGUCGAAGGCAGGUUCGAUAACUGGGGUGAAGCCGUAACAAGGUAGCCGUAGGGGAACCUGCGGCUGGAUCACCUCCUUUCU